rnacentral:rRNA from 1 species
CACGUAGGGGGCAAGCGUUGUCCGGAUUUAUUGGGCGUAAAGAGCUCGUAGGUGGUUCAGUAAGUCAGGUGUGAAACCUCCAGGCUCAACCUGGAGACGCCACUUGAUACUGCUGUGACUGGAGUCCGGUAGGGGAGCGUGGAAUUCCUGGUGUAGCGGUGAAAUGCGCAGAUAUCAGGAGGAACACCGAUGGCGAAGGCAGGUCUCUGGGCAUUAACUGACGCUGAGGAGCGAAAGCAUGGGGAGCGAACAGG